rnacentral:lncRNA from 13 species
CUAAUACAAUGUCACGACACACACUAUAAUGUCACUGCUUUGUGUAAAGCUACACACUACAAUGUCACUGCUCUGUGUAAAGCUACACACUAUAAUUUCACUGCUCUGUGUAAAGCUACACACUACAAUGUCACUGCUCUGUGUAAAGCUACACACUACAAUGUCACUGCUCUGUGUAAAGCUACACACUAUAAUGUCACUGCUCUGUGUAAAGCUACACACUACAAUGUCACUGCUCUGUGUAAAGCUACACACUAUAAUUCCACUGCUCUGUGUAAAGCUACACACUACAAUGUCACUGCUCUGUGUAAAGCUACACACUACAAUGUCACUGCUCUGUGUAAAGCUACACACUACAAUGUCACUGCUCUGUGUAAAGCUACACACUACAAUGUCACUGCUCUGUGUAAAGCUACUGUAAAGCUGUGUGGACUCAGUUACAGCACGGCAGUACUACAGGGUUCUGUACUGUGGCGUGUGGACAGUUACAGCACGGUGGUACUACAGGGUUCUGUACUGUGGUGUGUGGACUCAGUUACAGCACAGUGGUACUACAGGGUUCUGUACUGUGGUGUGUGGACAGUUACAGCACGGUGGUACUACAGGGUUCUGUACUGUGAUGUGUGGACAGUUACAGCACGGUGGUACUACAGGGUUCUGUACUGUGGCGUGUGGACAGUUACAGCACGGUGGUACUACAGGGUUCUGUACUGUGGUGUGUGGACUCAGUUACAGCACGGUGGUACUACAGGGUUCUGUACUGUGGUGUGUGGACUCAGUUACAGCACGGUGGUACUACAGGGUUCUGUACUGUGGCGUGUGGACUCAGUUACAGCACGGUGGUACUACAGGGUUCUUGAGACACUCACUCUCUCUCUCCUGGUUUGGGUUAACUUGGCCCGCCUGUGUCAUAUUAGGCCUGGAUGUCAAUAACCAAGGCCUGUUUUGAAAACACUCUCAAAGGGCCCGCGUGGAGACAAAGACGUAACGGGAAGAAGAAACACAAGUUAUUAUGACUUUGGUCUCUUAGCCCAGGCCAGUGUGUGUGUGUGUGUGUGUGUGUGUGUGUGUGUGUGUGUGUGUGUGUGUGUGUGUGUGUGUGUGUGUGUGUGUUUAUCUGUGUGUGCGUGUGUGUGUAAGAGAGCGUUCAUGUGCAGCCCCCAUGUGUCUUGUUUACCCCUGAACACACUCUAACAGUUGUAUCUGCCACGGACACAUGGGAGCAGAGAAAGAAGGAUGGGAGGUGAUGAGGAGAAAGAGGGAGGAAGUGAGGGAGAUGAGGGGAAGAGGGGAGAAGACAAAGCUCUAAAAUACAUAGCUCUAAAUCAAUUGUUACAGUACACUGACAUCUGAUUUUAAUAACCACAAACACACAAGAAAAAAGCAGUGGAGGUGGGUAGGGUAGGGUGAGGGGAGGAGGAGAGAAGGAGGUCCACUCUCUCUCUUUUUUCCUCCACUGUUGUUUUCCUUUAUUGUUGUUGUUGUUGCAUCAUAUUUCUGAGCAUGAAAGACAUUAGAGCAUGCACAGGCUUUGCGUUGGCUCUGGCAGUGUUUGACAAACUGGAAAAUCUUUGGCUAGGGAUCAUGUCAACACGGGGGAUGCAGAACUUGUACAAUGGUUCUUUCUUUAAUGGUUUUGAGUUUAUGCCAUGACCGUUUGUGGUGGAUGGUGGCAGAUUGUGAUAAAUUGCAUAAUUCUGUCAUUGCACCACACUAUCACUAUCGGUAGUCUAAACUGUGGCACAAAUUGACUAUCUUUUCGUAAAUUAAUGGAGGUGUGAAUGGUUCAGUCCGAGAGUCUUUCUUCUCGAGCACUAGAGUCCUACAUUAGGCAAAACAUUUUUUUUGCUGGAGGUGGUCCUGGAGUUAAGAGAACUUGGGUAAAGACAAUGGUGUAAUUACACAACAUGUGGACUGACGAGUUUCAAAACAUCGGUGGGCGUUUGGUUCCUCUCCCUCUAAAAACAGAAAUAAAUCCCACACUGUGGGUAUUUGCACAAACUCCCAAUAGAUAUGGGAGUUUAUCAAAAUUGGAUUUAUUUUCUAAUUCUCUGUGGGUCUGUAAUCUGAGAGAAAUGUGUGUCUCUAAUAUGGUCAUAUAUUUGGCUGGAGGUUGGUUAGGAAGUGCAGCUCAGUUUCCACCUCAUUUUGUGGGCAGUGUGCACAUAGCCUGUCUUCUCUUGAGAGCCAGGUCUGCCAACAGCGGCCUUUCUCAAUAGCAAGGCUAUGCUCACUGAGUCUGUACAUAGUCAAGCUUUCCUUAAGUUUGAGUCAGUCACAGUGGUCAAGUAUUCUGCCACUGUGUAAUCUCUGUUCAGUGACAAAUAGCAUUCUAGUUUGCUCUGUUUUUUUGUUAAUUCUUUCCAAUGUGUCAAGUAAUUAUCUUUUUGUUUUCUCGUGAUUUGGUUGGGUCUAGUUGUGUUGCUGUCCUGGGGCUCUGUGGGGUCUGUUUGUGUUUGUGAACAGAGCCCCAGGACCAGCUUGCUUAGGGGACUCUUCUCCAGGUUCAUCUCUCUGUAGGUGAUGGCUUUGUUAUGGAAGGUUUGGGAAUCGUUUCCUUUUAGGUGGUUGAAGAAUUUAACGUCUCUUUUCUGGAUUUUGAUAAUUAGUGGGUAUCGGCCUAAUUCCUAAGGUAUGUAUAGUUUUUUGUGUGCUCUAAGGCAGCGUUUCGGAAAGUAUGGGUUGCAACCUAAAUGUAUAAUUAUUUCAUGAAUUACUGGAAUUGAUUUGGCCAAGUGCAACUGCGCUCUCGGUUCAGUGCUCUCUAUGCGUAUCAGCGGUCUCUGCUCAGUUUGGCAGCAGCCCAAGUGAAAGGUAGAGGGAGAUGCCCAUGUGCUUCGCUGUUUACCAGAUAUUUUUCUGCAGUUUUCUUGAACAUUACUCCGCGACCCACACGCUGCAGUGCUGUCGUUCAAGCUCAAACAUCAUGAAACGCAAAUACAGUGAUUACUUUUUGUCUCUUUCAUACAAACUUUGAGAAAUAACGAGGAGCUCCCACAAUGUGUUUUGUGUAGGGAAGUGCUUAGUAAUGAGUCUCUCAAAACGAACAAAUUAAUAAAACGACACGUCCUGACCAAACAUCCAGGCACAACAUGACGGUAAACCCAGGAAGUUCUUUCAGAACAGGGCUGAAUGCUUCAGGAAACAGUGGUUCGAAAGUGGAAGAGUAAGUCAACUAGCAAAGGCAUUGUUGUAAUUUUAUAACAGGUGAUGGAUGAUAAGCAGAAAUAAGGGAGUACUAACUCUCAUAGUAGUAGAUGUGAGUUUCUCUUUCAAACAAUCCCCUGGCCUUGCAACGUUACACAGUUAACAGCUAAUGUUAGCCAAAGCUAACUAGCUACUGAUGGUGCAACCCUAAGAAACAGUACAGAUGUAGAUGAAAAUGACCAGGCCUACUGUACAUUUUACUGUAGAAAUGAUUGUUGAAAACAAGUCUAGGUUGGAACUGUUGCUGUUACAAGUAAUACUUUUUAUUCUGAACUGGAAUAAACUGAUUGAAGCAAGAUGCCUUUUGAGACAAACACUCACACAGUUCUGGGUUGUUCAUCUGCAGCAGGAAGCGGUCUACUGCCUGACUGAGAAAGCAGUAGAUGUUCUGGUCCAGUUUGGCACCAAGUACAGAAACAGUGUCAAUGCUGAGCAUGACCUCAGUGCUGUACUGUCAAAAACUGAUUCCAGAAUAGACAUGCUUGUUGAAAACUUCAACCAGCCACACACCUCUCAUUGGGACUGUGUGUGUUUUCUGUUCUACAUCUGUGUGAUGUGAUCAAUCAGUUUAUUCCAGUUCAGAAUAACAAAUAUAUAUUACAACAGCAACAGUUCCAACCUAGACUUUCUAUCAACAAUAAUUUAUACAGCGAGAAGUACAGUAAGAUAUACAGUAGGAUGUACAGUAGGAUGUACAGUAAGAUGCAGUAAGAAGUCCACCUGACUGUGCUGCUGCUCCAGUUUCAACUAUUCUGCCUUAUUAUUAUUCGACCAUGCUGGUCAUUUAUGAACAUUUGAACAUCUUGACCAUGUUUUGUUAUAAUCUCCACCCGGCACAGCCAGAAGAGGACUGGCCACCCCACAUAGCCUGGUUCCUCUCUAGGUUUCUUCCUAGGUUUUGGCCUUUCUAGGGAGUUUUUCCUAGCCACCGUGCUUCUUCACCUGCAUUGCUUGCUGUUUGGGGUUUUAGGCUGGGUUUCUGUACA